UGGGGAAUCUUGCACAAUGGCCGCAAGCCUGAUGCAGCGACGCCGCGUGAGGGAUGGACGCCUUCGGGUUGUAAACCUCUUUCGCCAGUGAAGCAGGCCAUCUUCUUUGUGGGUUGGUUGACCGUAGCUGUAUAAGAAGCGCCGGCUAACUACGUGCCAGCAGCCGCGGUAAUACGUAGGGCCCGAGCGCUGUCCGGAAUUAUUUGGCGUAAAGAGCUCGUAGGCGGCUGGUCGCGUCUGUCGUGAAAUCCCCUGGCUUAACUGGGGGCUUGCGGUGGGUACGGGCCGGCUUGAGUGCGGUAAGGGAGACUGGAAUUCCUGGUGUAGCGGUGGAAUACGCAGAUAUCAGGAAGAACACCGGUGGAGAAAGCGGGUCUCUGGGCCGUUACUGACGCUGAGGAGCGAAAGCGUGGGGAGCGAACAGG
rnacentral:rRNA from 1 species